rnacentral:rRNA from 1 species
UGAGGAAUAUUGGUCAAUGGGCGAGAGCCUGAACCAGCCAAGUAGCGUGCAGGAUGACGGCCCUAUGGGUUGUAAACUGCUUUUAUGUGGGGAUAAAGUGCGUGACGUGUCAUGCAUUGCAGGUACCACAUGAAUAAGGACCGGCUAAUUCCGUGCCAGCAGCCGCGGUAAUACGGAAGGUCCGGGCGUUAUCCGGAUUUAUUGGGUUUAAAGGGAGCGUAGGCUGUCUAUUAAGCGUGUUGUGAAAUUUUCCGGCUCAACCGGUGGCUUGCAGCGCGAACUGGUCUACUUGAGUAUGCAGGAAGUAUGCGGAAUUCAUGGUGUAGCGGUGAAAUGCUUAGAUAUCAUGACGAACUCCGAUUGCGCAGGCAGCUUACUGUAGCAUAACUGACGCUGAUGCUCGAAAGUGCGGGUAUCAAACAGG